UGUAGAUUGGGCCAAAAGGUGGUUGUGCUCCUUCUUGCAAGUCUAUGGCACAAUCAUAUGGUAGGUGUUCCGGUAGUAUGUCGGUGUUCUUCUUUUGAAACACGUCUUCAAAAUCUUUAUAUUGCUCCGGUAUACUUGCUGUUGAGAUCUUCUCCUCGGUAGUUGGAGCCACAUAAAUGACAAAUGGAGUGCCUUCCUUAGAUGAUCUUAUAAACGCUCUUGCUC
rnacentral:lncRNA from 1 species